AAAAGCCAAAGUGAAGCACAAAAGCAGUUCCGCUCCGGGACAAAAUGGCCGCCGGAGCCCUCGUCUUCUCCUCCCCUCCGCGCCAUAUCCGGGGGAGAGGGGGGGGGAUGCGACCGGAAGUGGGUCGCGUUUCCAAGAUGGCGACUCCCUAUGUUACUGAUGAAACCGGAAAAUACAUCGCAUCCACACAGCGUCCAGAUGGUACCUGGAGGAAACAAAGACGGGUGAAAGAAGGCUAUGUUCCCCAAGAAGAAGUGCCGGUGUAUGAGAAUAAAUAUGUGAAGUUUUUUAAAAGCAAGCCAGAGUUACCUCCAGGCUUGAAUCCAGAAGUUAACACGCCUGUGGCCCGUCAAGCAUCAAAGGGACCCGAGGGUGGAGAGACGGGGCUCUCCAAGACCGCUAAGAGGAAUCUCAAACGGAAGGAGAAGAGAAAACAGCAGCAGGAAAAGGGGGAUCGAGAUGCCGAUGACCUGAUUCAGUCUCUAGAGAAAACAACCUUGUCGGCGACACCGAGCAGCUGCGGGGAUGGUAAGUUGGCUGGGUCUGAUGCCAACCCAAGAGCCCCUGCUGGCAGCAGGGAUGUCUCGUCGGCUUCCGCCACUGCCACCUUAGAGAAGAACAAGAAAAUUAAAAACCUGAAAAAGAAACUACGGCAGGUGGAGGAUCUGCAGGCGCGGAUUGACUCUGGGGAGAUCAAGCAGCCGACCAAAGAGCAGUUAGAGAAGCUGGCUCGACGGAAAGCUUUGGAAGAGGAACUUGAGGACCUGGAACUGGAUUUGUAAAGGGUUGAAAUAUCAACCGGACCUAGUGUGCGUAGGAACAAACCGUCCCCCGGGGAAACAUUCUCAGAACUGUGCAACAAAAAGACCAGAAGAUGAAAGAUUAAAGGAUCACCUGGAGAAGUUUAGGGAGACAUCAAAAACACAGCUGCUGCUGUUGUUCCCCUCCCAUUGUUUCCCUCCCAACAAGUUUCAGCUACGUAAAGGAUUAACUCAACACAUUUCUUUGAGGAAGAGCCAACCAGCUUUGCAGUGAUACUGUCUUCACUCUUAUGACACAGUCAGCUCAUCUGAUACCAAGUUGCUAACACAAAAGGAUCUUGUUGACUUUCUGUGGUGUGACAAUUCCUGGGUUGACAUAGAAUUCCUAGCCAGAAGGCUACCAGUAGGAGAUUCCAGGAACUGCACUAACAAUGCCUUUGUGGAGAAAGCUGUCCUUAUUCAAGGAGUUUAAUUCCUCUGAACCUCAUUAUUUCUAUCAAUCAGAAAUAUCAAGGAUUGUUGUAACCUGUCACUUUCUCUAGUGAAGUACAGGUAAACCUUGACUUAUGACCACAAUUGAGCCUAAGUUUCCCAUUACGAAGAAAGGCAGUUGUCAGAAUUUUGCUCCGUUUUACGACUUUUCUUGCCCUAGUGGUUAAACCAUUCUGGGAGUUUAUUGUUCUCAUCUUUUGUCCACAUCUCAUGUUUUCAGUUUCUUAGUUUGAGGACUCAAAUGCAGGAAUACUGUAUAUCUAUUGCAUGCAAAUGAACACUGCGUAGAUUUUAAAUAUCAUAUAGUAAAGCAUUAUGCAAUUUAUUUGAUUUUGGUUUAGGGUAUUGUCUGGACAUGCUAAGUCAGUUUGUGGCUUAUUUAAUAAACCAGGGUUCAACAAACCAUGCCUUAACAUACUGUAUAAAACCCAGGAAUUCCCAGAUAAGCCUUUAGUCUAGAGUACACCUUUGAAAUGAUAGGCCAGCUGUUAUGUUCCUAAGCCAGACUUCUAGUUUGACUCUAUGAAAUUCUUAACCAACAUAUUUCAGCCUAAUACACGAAUCCAGUCUGUGUGAUUAGGUUGUAUUUCAAAGCAUCAUGGAAACUCAGAGAAAAUUGAACUGGAAAAACCAUUAAUUCAACCAUGGUAAGUGCACAACAUAAACGCAAACUAUAUGUAGGCUUGUAGUAAUUGAGAAAGUCUUGGCUUUAUUCUCUAUAGUUCCUUUUAUGCAUUAAGCUCCUUCACUACAUUAUUCCUUCAUCUUUUGCUUUACUCUCUUUGAGAUUCCAGAUUGACUUCAUUUCAGAGGAACGUGGAGUUUGUUUUACUUCGCAACAUUUAUAAAUUGACACUUGUCAAUUUUAUUUUUAUAUUUGACAGUGUCAAAUGCCCUUGACACUGACGGGCAGUACAAACUGAAAGGGAAGAUACUUACUGUAUUUUCCCUGUGACAAGAAUUAGCAACAUCGUAGAAGAUGGAGGAACCAGUAAGGCAAAGGGAAAAAAACAGAAAUCUAAAUUCAUAAUGUCUAAAAUGACGCCUUGUGGGCAUAAUUUGUUUUUUUUAAAAACCCUCCCUGUAAUAUUCCCGCUCUUGGUCCUCUCCUCUGAACAUAUUUUAGUAGAUUCGAAAGCCAUUACCAGCUUUUUGAGUUUAGCUGCUGUUGUCCAAUUUGCUUAAAAGUUUCAGCAAAGAGUUGAAAGUUUCUUGACAAUGUGUGCGCUCUCAGACCAAUGCAACAUCCUUCACAUCUGUUGCACAAUGCAGGGUUCAUUACCGCAUACUGUUCAUUGGAAGUCGGUGACUUCUCAAAGCAGAGUAAGCAAGCUGCUACUUGACCCCCUCCAAAAUAAGCUCAUAGACGAGUA